rnacentral:lncRNA from 1 species
AAAAAAAAAAUACUUGAUAGGUUAUGAUACCCAUUCUUCAUCACAGAAAAGGUUCACAAAUUUGGAACACCUAUCUUUGCCUUCCAGAACCCCCAAAAGACUCAAGGAUUUAAAGGCACAAGGUACCCUGGAAGGUGGGAGUAAUAAAGAAAGUUGAAACAAGGGGAUUAUUUGAACAUUUAUUUUUGCUCUUCUUUUGUAGGCAGGCAGCUAUCUCUCUAGCAGAUGACUGAAGCCUUAUUGUCUGGAGAAAUUAAACCAAACAGACUUAGAACUGAGGACAGGGGGAGGAUGGUAAUGGUAGUGAUGUGCUAUAUGGAAGACAAAAUGAUUAACAGAAUGAAGCCACUUGGAGGAUGUGCUUUACCAAAAUGAGGGAGUAAUCUGAGAAGGCAUGGGAUCCUGAAACUAAAAGAUGUCACAAAGGAAAACGAGGAAAGUCCCAGGAUGACUACUGUGUCAAGUAAGUAGGACGGAGGUUCCAGGAAGUAGGUCUCUAGGAAAACUGGGAACAAAGUAUUUGAGUACAAUGGAAAGUGUGUAAAUAAGCAGGAAAUUUGAAAUUUUAUUUCUUAGAAAGUAUGUUAUUUAGUAAUCAGUUUUUUAAAAAUUUGACAUUAAAAGUAUAGGCAAAUUGGAGUCUUGUCAGCUAUAAUUAGAUUGGUCCUUACGGCAUAAUACUCCACAAUUGCAGUAGAUGCUGACUUCAAUAAGAUGUGCGCCACAGAAGAUAUUUUUAGAAAAUAAAAAGUUUUUCAAUUUGUUUUUGUAUUUGAUUUGCUUAGGGAAAUCUCAAUUUUGUAUUUAUUUACAGAAAUAAUGCAUAGUCUAUAGCAGUAAUUUCAGCAAGCUUUUUGUUUAAAUUUUAGCCUCUGUAGAAUCAAAAGCAUAAAGAAUUACAGGUUGAACAUUCCUAAUCCAAAAAUUUGAAAUCUGAAAUGCUCCAAAAUCCAAAACUUUUUGAGUGCCAACAUGACAGCACAAAUGGAGAAUUUCACACCUGACCUCAUGUGACAGGUCAGUCAAAACAAAGGCACACAACAGUUUAUUAAAACUACUGUAUAAAAUUACCUUCAAGCUAUGUAUAUAUGAAACAUGAAUGAAUUUCAUGUUUAGACUUCCCAUCCCAAAGAUAUCUCAUUAUGUAUACAUAAAUAUUCCAAAAUCUGAAAAAGUUAAAUCUGAAGCACUUCUGUUCCCACACAUUUCAGAUAAGGGAUACUCAACCUGUAUCUACUUUUUAAAAAUAAUAUUCUGAAAUUUGAUACUGUUUUUCAUCUUCCAUGCUAUUUUUGCUAUCAA